rnacentral:rRNA from 1 species
GAUGAACGCUGGCGGCGUGCUUAACACAUGCAAGUCGAACGGAAAGGCCCAAGCUUGCUUGGGUACUCGAGUGGCGAACGGGUGAGUAACACGUGGGUGAUCUGCCCUGCACUUCGGGAUAAGCCUGGGAAACUGGGUCUAAUACCGGAUAGGACCACUUCUUGGAUGUUGUGGUGGACAGUUUUUUCGGUGUGGGAUGAGCUCGCGGCCUAUCAGCUUGUUGGUGGGGGAAUGGCCUACCAAGGCGUCGACGGGUAGCCGGCCUGAGAGGGUGUACGGCCACAUUGGGACUGGGAUACGGCCCAGACUCCUACGGGAGGCAGCAGGGGGGAAUAUUGCACAAUGGGCGCAAGCCUGAUGCAGCGACGCCGCGUGGGGGAUGGCGGCCUUCGGGUUGGAAAAUCCUUUCGCUAGGGACGAAGCGUUUUGUGACGGUACCUGGAGAAGAAGCACCGGCUAACUACGUG